UGGGGAAUAUUGCACAAUGGGCGCAAGCCUGAUGCAGCCAUGCCGCGUGUAUGAAGAAGGCCUUCGGGUUGUAAAGUACUUUCAGCGGGGAGGAAGGGAGUAAAGUUAAUACCUUUGCUCAUUGACGUUACCCGCAGAAGAAGCACCGGCUAACUCCGUGCCAGCAGCCGCGGUAAUACGGAGGGUGCACGCGUUAAUCGGAAUUACUGGGCGUAAAGCGCACGCAGGCGGGUUGUUAAGUCAUAUGUGAAAUCCCCGGGCGCAACCUGGGAAGUGCAUCUGAUACUGGCAAGCUUGAGUCUCGUAGAGGAGGGUAGAAUUCCAGGUGUAGCGGUGAAAUGCGUAGAGAUCUGGAGGAAUACCGGUGGCGAAGGCGGCCCCCUGGACGAAGACUGACGCUCAGGUGCGAAAGCGUGGGGAGCAAACAGG
rnacentral:rRNA from 1 species